rnacentral:rRNA from 1 species
AACGAACGCUGGCGGCGUGGAUAAGACAUGCAAGUCGAACGGGAUUUUUUUCUGUAGCAAUACAGGAAAAAGUCUAGUGGCGAACGGGUGCGUAACACGUGAGCAACCUGCCGUGAAGUGGGGGAUAGCUCGCCGAAAGGCGAAUUAAUACCGCAUGUGGCCAAGGAAGACAUCUUCCUGACGCCAAAGCCGGGGCAACCUGGCGCUUCUCGAGGGGCUUGCGGCCUAUCAGCUUGUUGGUGAGGUAACGGCUCACCAAGGCUAUGACGGGUAGCUGGUCUGAGAGGACGACCAGCCACACUGGAACUGAGACACGGUCCAGACACCUACGGGUGGCAGCAGUCGAGAAUUUUUCACAAUGGGGGAAACCCUGAUGGAGCGACGCCGCGCGGAGGAUGAAGGUUUUCGGAUUGUAAACUCCUGUCAUUAGAGAACAAGGCACACGGUUUAACUGACCGUGUGUUGAUAGUAUCUGAAGAGGAAGAGACGGCUAACUCUGUGCCAGCAGCCGCGGUAA